rnacentral:lncRNA from 1 species
AAAAUUUUAUUUUUGCAGUGGAUAAACAGUGUAUCCAAAAUAAAAGUGUAUGCUGGAAAUGUCAAUUCAUGGAUUUCCAGUGCAGAUGUGAUAAUAAAACCACAAUCGACCAUCAAUGAUUUGAUUGAAAAUACAUUAAAGCAGCUUUAUCUUAAGG